rnacentral:piRNA from 1 species
AGGUCACAGUGUGUUGGACUGCUAAAGUAGC